GGACAGGUGAAGUGGAGAGAGAGGGAAGGUAACAUUCAGCACGUCGUAGUCGGCUGGGAGCGUUCGCCGCAGCAAUCGAUGCAGAGUGGAAGAUGGAACUAGUAUGACAACACAGUUGAAGCUUGUCGCAUGGAAGCUGAGCGCGACGGGACGUACGUCAGAAAGUCAAAGUCUAAUGCUGCCAGCUCGUGGGUACUGCUGCACCUUCCCGGAACCCAGUGAUGUGGAAAACUACCAGUAGCAGCAAUACUGUGCAUCUAAUCAGCUUGUCUGCUAUUGAAGAUGGACAGUCAGAUGUCACCAGAACAAGUGUGUCCAGAACGUUUGAAGUGACAUAGACUUUUCAUCAACAGCAGCCUGUGUGAGAAGAGAAAGCCAUGGUCCUGUACAAAAUGCGUCACUGGGACCCAGUUGCUCUUUUUGCUCAUAUGGCAGACGAGUGUGGUGGUGUGAAGCAGAAUGAAGAAGCAGAGUGGGGUGAAAUGCAGGCCAUGAAAAACACCAUGGAACAUCUAACCCCCACUGCCAUUUUACUUUCAAGCAAAAUUUUCAAGAUACAUCUCUUCAGUACCAACGAUCUUUAUUUGUGUGACUUGGCACUGGAAGAAUUCACAGAUAGUUUGAUAAAUCGUGGAUCUCCUGGUGCCAAAGCAUACAUAUAAAAACUGCUACAAUGCGGAGUGGGAAUGCAUCGCAAAUCCUUCAGUAAUACAUUAGAACACUGUAUUGUAGUGAAAUGUUUGAAGCAAUUAUAUUUGUAUGUAAAUAAAUUUGAAUAACAAUUUCAGAAGUGUAUUAACUCAUGUAAUUCAUUUUUAUGGUAAAAUACUUAUACUAAUGCUGCUCACUGAAAUAAUUAUGGAGUUCCCAUUUUACAUAACAUAGGAGAAAGAUAAGCAUCCACUGUUGUAUGUAGCUGCUUAUCUUAAUUCAAAAUAAAACCUAAGUUAUUCUGUUAUGGAGAGCAUGUUCAGCAUACAUAUUUCAGUAUGUAGGAAGGAUUGAGAAGAAAAUCAUUGUGCUAUAUGAGAGUUUUUUUAAAUAAAUAUUUUGUGUAAAAACUGAUGAAAUAGUAAUUAUAUGGAAAUGGUACAUGACUGUGUUACAUGUUUAAGUAUGUGAUGCCUCAGCUGAUAUAAGUUAGCAUUAAUGUGAUACAUUAUAGAAUGAUUAUUGUUAAUAAAUCACAGUGCUGUCAAUAUUUUGUCACUAAAUUAAUGUAAAAUAAUUAGU